rnacentral:rRNA from 1 species
AACACAUGCAAGUCGAGCGGUAACAGGCAUUUUGAUUCAGCUUGCUGAAUCUCGCGCUGACGAGCGGCGGACGGGUGAGUAACGCGUAGGAAUCUACCUAGUAGAAGGGGAUAGCCCGGGGAAACUCGGAUUAAUACCGUAUACGUCCUUAGGGAGAAAGAGGGCUUAGCUUUGAUGCUCUCGCUAUUAGAUGAGCCUGCGUAAGAUUAGCUUGUUGGUGAGGUAAAGGCUCACCAAGGCUACGAUCUUUAGCUGGUCUGAGAGGACGAUCAGCCACAUUGGGACUGAGACACGGCCCAGACUCCUACGGGAGGCAGCAGUGGGGAAUAUUGGACAAUGGGCGCAAGCCUGAUCCAGCCAUACCGCGUGUGUGAAGAAGGCCUUCGGGUUGUAAAGCACUUUAAGUAAGGAAGAAAAGUAUAUUGUUAAUACCAAUGUACCGUGACAUUACUUACAGAAUGAGGACCGGCUAAUUCCGUGCCAGCAGCCGCGGUAAUACGGAAGGUCCAAGCGUUAAUCGGAAUUACUGGGCGUAAAGCGCGCGUAGGUGGUUUAUUAAGUUGGGUGUGAAAGCCCCGGGCUCAACCUGGGAACUGCAUCCAAAACUGAUUCACUAGAGUACGAAAGAGGGAGGUAGAAUUCACAGUGUAGCGGUGGAAUGCGUAGAUAUUGUGAAGAAUACCAAUGGCGAAGGCAGCCUCCUGGUUCUGUACUGACACUGAGGUGCGAAAGCGUGGGUAGCGAA